rnacentral:misc_RNA from 1 species
UUGAAACAAACUUGGUUUGGGUUGUUGCUGGCUUUUAAAAGCAUGUGCACGCCUAUUCCAUUUUUAACCACCUGUGCACUUUGUGUAGACCUGAAACACUCUCAAGUUGUAUCUUGGUUUGAGAAUUGCUAUACAGCUUUUCUUGUAUGUCAGGUCUAUGUCUCUUUACCUACACACUAUAAAUAUGUAUCAGAAUGUUUAUAAUUGGCCCUUCGUUGCCUUUUAAAAAUUGAAA